rnacentral:rRNA from 1 species
AACGAACGCUGGCGGCGCGCCUAACACAUGCAAGUCGAACGAGAAUCCGGGGCAACCCGGUAGUAAAGUGGCAAACGGGUGAGGAAUACAUGGGUAACCUACCCUUGAGAAGGGAAUAACCCGCCGAAAGGUGAGCUAAUACCCUAUACGCUAUCUUUUUUUCGAAAAGGAUAGGAAAGCCGGGUCGAGGACCUGGUACUCAAGGAGGGGCUCAUGUCCUAUCAGCUUGUUGGUGGGGUAACGGCCUACCAAGGCUACGACGGGUAGCUGGUCUGAGAGGAUGAUCAGCCACACUGGCACUGAGAUACGGGCCAGACUCCUACGGGAGGCAGCAGUGAGGAAUACUUGCGCAAUGGGCGAAAGCCUGACGCAGCGACGCCGCGUGGGGGAUGAAGGUUUUCGGAUUGUAAACCCCUUUCAUGAGGAAAGAUAAAGUGGGUAACCACUUAGACGGUACCUCAAGAAGAAGCCACGGCUAACUUCGUGCCAGCAGCCGCGGUAAAG